GACGAACGCUGGCGGCGUGCCUAAUACAUGCAAGUAGAACGCUGAAGGAGGAGCUUGCUUCUCCGGAUGAGUUGCGAACGGGUGAGUAACGCGUAGGUAACCUGCCUGGUAGCGGGGGAUAACUAUUGGAAACGAUAGCUAAUACCGCAUAAGAGUAGAUGUCGCAUGACAUUUGCUUAAAAGGUGCAACUGCACCACUACCAGAUGGACCUGCGUUGUAUUAGCUAGUUGGUGAGGUAACGGCUCACCAAGGCAACGAUACAUAGCCGACCUGAGAGGGUGAUCGGCCACACUGGGACUGAGACACGGCCCAGACUCCUACGGGAGGCAGCAGUAGGGAAUCUUCGGCAAUGGACGGAAGUCUGACCGAGCAACGCCGCGUGAGUGAAGAAGGUUUUCGGAUCGUAAAGCUCUGUUGUAAGAGAAGAACGAGUGUGAGAGUGGAAAGUUCACAGUGUGACGGUAUCUUACCAGAAAGGGACGGCUAACUACGUG
rnacentral:rRNA from 1 species